rnacentral:rRNA from 1 species
AUCGAUGAAGAACGCAGCGAAAUGCGAUAAGUAAUGUGAAUUGCAGAAUUCAGUGAAUCAUCGAAUCUUUGAACGCACCUUGCGCUCCUUGGUAUUCCGAGGAGCAUGCCUGUUUGAGUGUCAUUAAAUUCUCAACCCUUUCAGCUUUUGCGAGUUGAUUUGGCUUGGAUGUGGGGGUUGCGGGCUUCUCAGAAGUCGGCUCCUCUUAAAUGCAUUAGCGGAACCUUUGUGGACCAGCUUUGGUGUGAUAAUUAUCUACGCCAUGGCCGUGAAGCAGCUUUACAUGGGGUUCAGCUUCUAACCGUCCAUUGACUUGGACAAUUUCUGACAUUUUGACCUCAAAUCAGGUAGGACUACCCGCUGAACUUAAGCAUAUCAAUAAGCGGAGGAAAAGAAACUAACAAGGAUUCCCCUAGUAACUGCGAGUGAAGCGGGAAAAGCUCAAAUUUAAAAUCUGGCGGUCCUUGUGGCCGUCCGAGUUGUAAUCUAGAGAAGUGCUAUCCGCGCUGGACCGUGUACAAGUCUCCUGGAACGGAGCGUCAUAGAGGGUGAGAAUCCCGUCUUUGACACGGACUACCAGGGCUUUGUGAUGUGCUCUCAAAGAGUCGAGUUGUUUGGGAAUGCAGCUCUAAAUGGGUGGUAAAUUCCAUCUAAAGCUAAAUAUUGGCGAGAGACCGAUAGCGAACAAGUACCGUGAGGGAAAGAUGAAAAGAACUUUGGAAAGAGAGUUAAACAGUACGUGAAAUUGUUGAAAGGGAAACGCUUGAAGUCAGUCGCGUUGGCCGGGGAUCAACCUUGCUCUUUUGCUUGGCGUACUUUCCGGUUGACGGGUCAGCAUCAAUUUUGACCGAUGGAUAAAGGUCAGGGGAAUGUGGCAUCUUCGGAUGUGUUAUAGCCCUUGGUCGCAUACAUCGGUUGGGAUUGAGGAACUCAGCACGCCGCAAGGCCGGGUCUUUGACCACGUACGUGCUUAGGAUGCUGGCAUAAUGGCUUUAAUCGACCCGUCUUGAAACACGG